GGGAGGGCAUGGCAGACAGAAGUAAGGAGAGCUGUAUGGAGGAGAGCAUGGUUUACAGGCCAGGCAGCUACAGAGGAGGACAGUGUGCAAAGGCCUUGAGUUAGUGCUGCCUAUAUGAUUGAUGUGUGAGGAAGAGGAACCAUCUACUACAACAUGGGGAAUCCUCCAGUGGCCAAGCUCUCAAAGAAUGACGGUCAGCUGCCAACAGCCCCCAGUGCGGGGCAGGUCCUCACGAGUUCCUCUCCUGUCCGUGCUGGAACUUCGGCUGGCUGGCUCCUGUGCAGGUCACCAGAGUUGCAGUGAGUUCAUGAGCACCGGGGUGGCGUCUCCCGGAAGACAGCACUCCGCUUUCCUCCCCAGCCUCUCUUACUCUCUGUCCGCUUCGUCUUCUACGAUGCUACCGAACCUUCCGGUUUGCCGUUCAUAAAUAGGAACUGCCAGGGCUGAGCACUCACAGUCUCUCAGCUCAGACUUUGGCGUUGGGAGCCGCUGCAGAAACUGCUGCCUACCGCAGAAGGAAGCUGCUCUGGGCGCAGGUGAGGCAAGGCCUGUAGCACGUGUGGAUUCCUGCUCCCUAUGCCGGCAGAUAGUAGACGCUCAGGCUGGAGGGCUGCCUGGAGAGCAGGCCGUGAGAUGCCCAGAUUGGACCAGAGCGGCAACAGUCACAUUUAGAUAGACCCUGCUCUGGGCCUCUCCCAGAUAGAUUUCCUGCCAUCCAACAACAUCCGGCAAGGCUGAAAAUUGGGACUGUCUGUCCCCACAGAGGACUGCUCUGAGCCUGGUUUCCAGAACUGUCUUUGCCGCAUUGGAAGAUGGGAUCUCCUAGGGGUGUGGUGAGAACCCAUCUUUGGGGGUGUGGUGAGCAGUCAUCUCCCAGGGGUGCAGUGAGCACACAGGAUGCGGACAUGCUGGUGUGGAUGGAAACAGGCUUCACACGUGUAGCUCAUGUGUUCUCGUCCCGCCUUUCCGCACUCCCGCAAAACACAGACAGCACUGAGGGCUGAUUUUGUGUAAUUUGGUCAAGCUUGUCAUAUUGCUUAAACCUCCCCCACCCUCUGGGAAAUUCAAGCUGAAAAACUAUUAGAAAUAAUGAGAGAUCAGUAAGGCAGCCAGCUACAAAAAUAAAUGCACAAAAAUCAAUACCUUUCCUAUGUCCAACAGUAACCACUUAGGAAAAAAAAUAAUGGAAAAGAAAGAUCUCAUUCGCAAUAAAAUGGGAGACGUUUAUCACCCCAA